CUUCACCUUCCGCCAUGAUUGUGAGGCUUCCCCAGCCAUGUGGAAACAUAUUCGCAGAGCACCCACUAGGUGCCAGUAAAUGUAUGAGAAGUCCUGUGGAAUAAGACUGAAGUUGUCCUUGCCUUCAAGCAACUUGCAAUUGCCUAAGAACACAGUUUAAAACCACAAAACUAAGAAAAAGAGAGAGCGAGCGAGAGAAAGAAUAGCUACAUGUGAUUAUCUGAAGCUGAAAGCCAAGCACAAGUUAGAUAGCAGCCAUGAACGCAAUGCCCAGUUUUGAAGAGGAGCUUAAAACAUAACCUUGGAAAUCACAUGCUGUCAUUUCUGCGAUCGGUCAUAACCAGUCCUGAUUCCAUGUUAGAGGAGACUACAUAAGGACACAGGUACCAGAAGCUGGAUCCACUGACCUGGAAUGCCUGGACUGAAGCAGGAGACUAACCAGCAUGGGCUACAUCAAAAAGGCUGCCAUCUACUUUCUGCUGGGUAGGGGCACCAGAGAGACUUGUCAGAAACUAGAAGGAAGGUAGAGUGCGAAAUCUGAGUGUUAAUUCCCUGGCUUCAUCAAAGGACACUGGUCUUCACAAGGAAACAGACUACAUGAUUCUCCUUUUGGGCUUCAGUAAAAACCCCCUCCUUUCAUCCCUUAGUCUAGGGAUGGUAAGAGGUCAGCAGCUAAGAAUUCUAGGUUCUUUGUGGUUUUCCCGUAUACAUGUCUUUGAUGAUAGCCCCUUUGGAAAUAAAUUCUCCUAGACUUUUUUUUAGGGUGAUUGGGUCAUUGUUUUUUCUCCUGGAACCCUGAGUCCUCAAAUCAACCCUAUCUGAAAUGUGCCAUUAUUGCUACAUUUUAUAAUAGAGGAAGACAGAUGGCUUAUAUAAUUUGAUGAAGAUCACAUGUUUUGUAAGAAGAGCUGGGAUUGGAACUGUAGCAGUCUAGCUUUUCAGAUCAUGCUCUUAAUCACCACAAUAAGUAUCAAUAAGUGUCAAUAAUCACUAUAAUAAGUGGCAUUGUAGCAUAAUGACACUCUACUUAGAGCAAUAGCUUAGUUCAAGUCAUCUUUUCCUAUGAAACUUUCCAUUUAUUUGACUAUUACUGUUUCAUAGAACCUACCCCUCAAGUUUAUUGAGGGUCAUACUUAAAUUUUCUAUGCUUAUGCUCUUUUUUAAUACUCACAGAAAGAGUGUACCUAUCUAGGGGGCAGAGACUACAGGUUCAGUUUUUUAACCCACGGCAAGUAGUCCUAUCCUGAGAACAUGGUACA
ensembl:lncRNA novel transcript